ACAGGCUGCCGGGGUCAGUGUGUUUCACUGAACUCUGUUGGGAGGGUGGGUUCCAGACAGAGUCCAGAACCAAGAGUGCUAACACCCAGGCUGCAAAGAAGAAAACGAGCUGAAAGUAAGAGGCAGACCAGAGCAAACCCCACACCAUCAUUAAACCUUGCAGGCACCUAAUGAUCACUGCCUCAGCAUUAAUUUCUGGUGACCUCGACAUUCGGCUGACAGUCGACAGCGAGGCUGUGUUGAGGCUGCGGCUGACUAGGCCGGUCGUUGGAGACGCCGU